rnacentral:lncRNA from 1 species
AAAGGUCUUCAAGAGCUAUAAUAUGGAAUAAACUUUGCAAAAAUUCUGAUGUCAAGAGGUUUCCACUUCAGUUAAUAAAAUUAAAAGGAUCAAAAGGGGCUCUGAGAAAUCUACAAACCAGACUGGAAAACAUGUUUCUACUCUGGAUGACACACACUCAAUGGAAGCUUCAUCACUAAGAAACAUAUUCUCAACAGAAAAAAAGACAUCUCCUUAGUUUGGAUUCGUUUGGGAAUUUCUCCUUGGUAAGGAUAUAUAGGAGAUACACACACUUUCUGCUAAAACAUAUAAACAUCAUGUCACAGCUCUCCACAGAAAAGCAGAAUGGACAGAAUAGCAACAUUCUCACAGAAAGCA